CAAACCUGGAUAAUCUCACAUCGUCAAAACCACCCCAAAAUCAUGGCCUCUUCCUUAUUUCCGUGGAAGCUGUCUUCUUUAGGGGUCUUCUUCCUAUUCUACUUGCUCUUCUUCGUAAACAACAUCACCAUCUUUGUUUCCACUCCAUUUCAUGGCAUAGUCGUUUUUGCUUCCUCCAUUUCUUUCGCUUCCAAUAUGACCAACCAUACGGAUGAAGCAAAGACUCUCCUGAAAUGGAAAUCUAGUCUCGAAGACCACAACCAAUCUCUCCUGUCUUCAUGGCAAGGUAACAACUCUUGCCACUUCAUGGGUGUCACUUGUGACGACAAUGGAUUCGUUGCCCAUCUUAAUCUUUCUAAUCUCGGCCUGAGAGGAACUUUAAAUAGUCUUGACUUCUCGCACUUAACCAAGGUGGUUAGCCUUGACUUUUCCAGCAACUCGAUCUAUGGUGCUAUGACCUCAAGUAUUAGUAACCUUUCCAAACUCAAGUAUCUUAAUUUUUGUGACAAUAGAUUGAGUGGACACAUUCCUUGGGAGAUUGGAUUGUUAGAUUCUCUUUCUGAAGUUUCUUUUAGCAAAAACAACCUCAAAGGUCCUAUCCCUACUUCACUUGGAAAAUUAGGCAACUUAAGAAAUUUGAGCCUAGCAAAGAAUGACCUUUCUGGUCCCAUUCCAAGAGAGAUAGGUGACCUAAGAAGAUUGAAGUUUCUUUACUUAUGGAUGAACCAACUUUCGGGAUCCAUACCUGCAGAGAUUGGGAGGCUAACCGGUCUUAUUGACUUAGGAUUUUCUGAUAAUAAGUUGGUCGGGCGUAUCCCUGCUUCACUAGGAAACCUAAGCAGUCUAAAUGUCCUCUAUCUUUAUGGAAACCAACUUUCGAGAUCCAUACCUUCAGAGAUUGGGAGGCUAACCAAUCUUAUUGAAUUAGAUUUUUCUGAUAAUAAGUUGGUCGGGCAUAUCCCUGCUUCACUAGGAAACCUAAGCAGUCUAAAUGUUCUUUAUCUUGACAGAAACCAAAUUUUAGGGUCCAUUCCUCCUUCUCUUGGAAAAUUAGGCAACUUAAGAAAUUUGAGCCUAGCAAAGAAUGACCUUUCUGGUCCCAUUCCAAGAGAGAUAGGUGACCUAAGAAGAUUGAAGUUUCUUUACUUAUGGACGAACCAACUUUCGGGAUCCAUACCUGCAGAGAUUGGGAGGCUAACCGGUCUUAUUGACUUAGGAUUUUCUGAAAAUAAGUUGGUCGGGCGUAUCCCUGCUUCACUAGGAAACCUAAGCAGUCUAAAUGUCCUCUAUCUUUAUGAAAACAAACUUUCGGGAUCCAUACCUUCAUCAAUUGGGAGGCUAACCAAUCUUAUUGAAUUAGAUUUUUCUGAUAAUAAGUUGGUCGGGCAUAUCCCUGCUUCACUAGGAAACCUAAGUAGUCUAAAUGUUCUUUAUCUUGACGGAAACCAAUUUUUAGGGUCCAUUCCUCCUUCUCUUGGAAAAUUAGGCAACUUAAGAAAUUUGAGCCUAGCAAAGAAUGACCUUUCUGGUCCCAUUCCAAGAGAGAUAGGUGACCUAAGAAGAUUGAAGUUUCUUUACUUAUGGAUGAACCAACUUUCGAGAUCCAUACCUUCAGAGAUUGGGAGGCUAACCAAUCUUAUUGAAUUAGAUUUUUCUGAUAAUAAGUUGGUCGGGCAUAUCCCUGCUUCACUAGGAAACCUAAACAGUCUAAAUGUCCUCUAUCUUUACGAAAACAAACUUUCGGGAUCCAUACCUUCAGCAAUUGGGAGGCUAACCAAUCUUAUUGAAUUAGAUUUUUCUGAUAAUAAGUUGGUCGGGCAUAUCUCUGCUUCACUAGGAAACCUAAGCAGUCUAAAUGUUCUUUAUCUUGACAGAAACCAAUUUUUAGGGUCCAUUCCUCCUCUUGGAAAAUUAGGCAACUUAAGAAAUUUGAGCCUAGCAAAGAAUGACCUUUCUGGUCCCAUUCCAAGAGAGAUAGGUGACCUAAGAAGAUUGAAGUUUCUUUACUUAUGGACGAACCAACUUUCGAGAUCCAUACCUUCAGAGAUUGGGAGGCCAACCAAUCUUAUUGAAUUAGAUUUUUCUGAUAAUAAGUUGGUCGAGCAUAUCCCUGCUUCACUAGGAAACCUAAGCAGUCUAAAUGUCCUCUAUCUUUGCGAAAACCAACUUUUGGGAUCCAUACCUUCAGCAAUUGGGAGGCUAACCAAUCUUAUCGAAUUAGAUUUUUCUAAUAAUACUUUGACUGGUUCAAUCCCUUCAUCAAUUGGAAGCAUGGUCAAUUUAAUUGUGUUAUGCCUUAGUGAUAACAACUUUCUCGGUAUCUUGCCUCCUGAAAUUAACAAGAUUAUUCAUUUGAGUGUUUUGGAGCUCUCUGAUAAUGAACUCGAAGGGCAGCUGCCAGAAAAUAUAUGCCUGGGGGGGAUUAUUGCAAAAUUUCACUAUGGAGAAUAAUCAUUUCACAGGUCAUAUCCCUAAAAGCUUGAGGAAUUGUACUUCAUUAUAUAGAGUGAGGCUCGAAGGAAAUAAACUUACUGGAAAUGUAACAGAAGCUUUUGGAGUAUAUCCGCAACUGAAUUUUAUGGACUUGAGCCACAAUUAUUUGCAUGGUGAACUUUCAUGGAAAUGGGGGCAUUGCCACAAUUUGACGAGCUUAAGGAUAUCGAACAAUAAAAUUUCCGGUGAGAUACCCUCGAUAUUCGGAAGGAUGGCUCAAUUACAGUUUCUUGACCUUUCUGCAAAUAAUUUAAGUGGAAAGAUUCCAAGGGAGUUGGGAAGCUUGCACCUACUACUAGAUCUUAUCCUUAACAACAAUGGGAUCACAGGUGAUAUUCCCCAUCAAAUUGGAUUUUUAUCUCGACUAGAAUAUCUCAACCUAGGAUCAAACAAUUUGAGCGGAGCCAUUCCACCGCAGCUCAGCCUAUGCACCAACUUGCUGAGCUUGAACUUGAGCCAAAAUAAAAUUGAGAGAAGCAUUCCUUCCGAGAUAGGCAAUGCGCAAUUCCUAAGGGUUCUUGAUUUGAGUCAAAAUCUAUUGACAGGAAGAAUACCACCAAAUCUAGGAAAAUUGAGAGUCCUAGAAACCCUAAACAUCUCCCACAAUGGCCUCUCUGGUUCCAUCCCAUAUAGUUUUGCUGACUUAUGGGCAUUAAUUUCUGUUGAUGUGUCCUACAAUGACUUGGAAGGUCCUCUCCCAAAUGUCAAAGCUUUUAAGGAGGCUCCAUUUGAGGCAGUUCAGCAUAACAAGGGGUUGUGUGGGAACGAGACUGGAUUACAGAAAUGCAAUAUUUCUACCAUGAGCAAGAAACACAAUCAACAUGGCGGGGCUAGAAUUUUGAUUAUCCCCGUUCUCUCAUUCUUGGGAUUCCUCAUUCUCUCUUCCUUCUUGAUCGUCCUCAUAAUCUUUAAUUGCCAUCGGAGAAAGAUUAUCAAGAGAGAGAGAGAGGAAUGUAUUGACAGAGACUAAUGAUUUAGAUUUCAUGCACAUUCUGAGUUUUGAUGGCAAAAUUUUCUAUGAGAGAAUCAUGGAGGCAACAGAAGGAUUUGACUCCAAGUAUUAUUUGGGAGAAGGGGCCUAUGGCGUUGUUUACAAAGCUGAUCUGUUGC
rnacentral:lncRNA from 1 species